rnacentral:tRNA from 1 species
GGCGCUAUCGUCUAGUGGUCAGGACGUAUGGUUCUCAUCCAUACAACCUCGGUUCGAAUCCGAGUAGCGUCA